CUAACAACCUUGGUCAUUCCUACUUUUGACAUCAAGAUUCAGCAGCCUGUCAUUUUCUGCACUGAUGAGGCAAAAACUGAUCCCCUCAAAGAUGCUCCCCUUACAGAUAUUUGUUUAGGUACUUCAGCAGCUCCUAUUUAUCUUCCGGCACAUGGCUUCAAAGUUACAGCUAAUGGGAAAACUCGAACAUACGAUCUCAUCGACGGAGG
rnacentral:misc_RNA from 1 species